UACGUAGGGGGCAAGCGUUGUCCGGAAUCAUUGGGCGUAAAGCGCGUGCAGGCGGCUUGGUAAGUCCGCUCUGAAAGCCCGGGGCUCAACCCCGGGAGGCGGGUGGAUACUGUCAAGCUCGAGUCCGGAAGAGGCGAGUGGAAUUCCUGGUGUAGCGGUGAAAUGCGCAGAUAUCAGGAGGAACACCAAUGGCGAAGGCAGCUCGCUGGGACGUGACUGACGCUGAGACGCGAAAGCGUGGGGAGCAAACAGG
rnacentral:rRNA from 1 species